rfam:Oryza glaberrima chromosome 5 Oglab05_0012_10, whole genome shotgun sequence.
AAUAAGUGCAGUUUUACACUAUUCACGUUCAACGUUUGACCGUUUGUCUUAUUUGAAAUUUUUUUUAUUAGUAUAUUUUAUUGCUAUUAGAUGAUAAAACAUGAAUAGUACUUUAUGUGUAACUAAAUAUUUUCAAAUUUUUUACAAAUUGUUCAAAUAAGUCGGAUGAUUAAACGUUGGGCACGGAUAUCCACGGCUGCACUUAUU